CAAAGACACGACGUCUCGGCGCACCUCUGACGUCUGUGCCCUGGAAGCCGGGUGAUUCAGACCCCAGUGACGUGGGGAACCUGGUGAACGCUCGCUGCUCACGUAGCUUCCUUCACUCCUCGGCCGUUCCUGUGACUUCUGGGGCUGCGCACCUGCCUCACUCCUGGGAGACGGCAGAAAUGAGGUCCGGAGGACCCUGGUUCUCCUGAAGAAUAUAUUUCAUUGUGGGGAAGAUGGCAAGACAGUAAACAAACAGCUGAAACAAAACAUAAGAAAAUAGAGUGACUCCUCUUCCCUGGGGAGGAUGCAGCUGGGAGGUGACGUGUGAGUGAGGCUCGAGGAGCGAAAGCCUUGGGGGCCGAGUGAGAAGGGAACCGAAAGCGCAGGUCUGUCCACGGGACCCAGGGUGCGGCUGGGUGUGGGGAGAGCGGAGAUGGCUUCCCAUCCCACAAGCUCCAACUUUAGCCCAUUCCUGUCAGGGAGCUGCCAGAAGACCCGAGGCUCCAACUCGAGCACCCUGCUCUCAUGUGCCCCUUGGUCCCCACUGCCACAGGGACAACGCAGAUGGGCCAGGUGGAUGCUGUGUCCUCAGUGGGUUUGUGUCCAGCAGUGGCCAGCUGCCCGCUCUUCCCCGGAGAGGGGCCCUGUGGAGUCCUGCUGGCUUGGCUUUUUCUCUGCCCUCCCUAUAGGGUCAGGGCAUGCAGCAGGCAGGGCUGGCCAGGGCAGGUCCACGGUGGCCCUGGCCAGGGUGUGCUUGCUUUGGCAUCUUUGGCAUGGGACUUCAUUCAUCAAGCGCCCAUGAAUACCUGCCGGCUUCCUACUGCUCUGCGUGCCAGUGGGCAGGGAUCUCACAGAAAUGGAGGUGUGAGCAGCUCAAGGGCACUGGUCAGGUGGCCAGGGACACAGGAACGUGGUCUCCAGAGCAGGAUCCUGCAGGCUGAAAUGAAGCUUCUAAGUAGGAGCCAGGGUAGGAAGGAGGCUGUGCUGAGGGAUGUGUCCUCCUCUUUCUCCUAAAGUCCUAACCACUCCUGCUUCUGUGCUUCCUCAUUGGAUAAAUUCAGGCACAGCCAGAAGAUAAGGGUGCUGAACAGGUCAGGGCUGGAGUGUCCAGGACAGGCAGUAAACAAAGGAGACGGGACCAGUGGAGGUCUCCUGGAGAGCAACCAGCAGAUGAGACGAGAGGGGCUUCCUGAGUGGGGCGCGGUCCCGACAGCCCUGGUGCUCUGUGUGCGGACACCGGGCGUGCUCGGGCCACUCACCCGGUGAUCUGCUGAGAAGGGCGUCACCACGCUGCUGAGACCAAGAUCUCUACAAAAUAACCAGAUCAAUGUUUUGAGGUUGCAUAGUAAAGUGAAGGCAAGGACCAGGCAGUGCUGCUUGUCUGUUAAUGUGUGUUCAGUUCUGAGAUGGUGAGGGGCUGCAGGGCCCUUGAGCGCAUCCAUGCAGGUGCCCGGGGUUCACAGAUAUUUCCAAAGCCAGAGUGGAAUGUUCUGCCCCUCAAUGUGUUGACACUAUUAUUGAAGAGAAGUAGUAGAGCCAGGCACUCAGCUCCAAACGGCUUCUGUGGCUCCCCAAGCACCUCCCCUCCAGACUCAACCUCGAUGGUCUCCCUGCAGCAGCAGCUUCCUGUUGUGAAGGCCCAGGCUCGAAGGGCAGGAGCAGAAUUAAUCACGGUGGCCCUGGUGUUUUCUGCCUGCACUGGUGCCAGUCCCUGCACUCGCAGUGACUGCCCACACUGACCUGCCCCGUCCUCCCUGCUCAGCACCUCGCAAUGUGCUCAUGGUCAUGGACUCCGCAGCCUGGCCCUAAUCACCUCGCCUUGGACAGAUGCUGAAUGGGCACCAGCAGACCCUGCCCUUCUGGGCAGCACAUCAAACAGCAAUGCAGAAGCUGGUUCUGAAGAUGGAUGGGCGCCGGAGCCCUUGAUGUCCGUAGGGCCUCAGGUCCAAAGUCACGAUGGCAUCAGCCCCGUGCAUCCUUCCUGCUGCUCCCGGAAGCAGUCAGAUUUGGCUGUGGAUUUCUGGCAACGCCGGCUCUGUGCUGGAAAGCGGAGACUUCUUGCUGCUACUUUUAGUUCUCGCCGUUCUGCGGAGACGACUGACUUCUCCAGCUCAGCGUGGCAAUGAGAUGCAAGUCCCGAGUGUGGAGCGCUGGCCUGGGGAGCCAGGGCCCUGGGCCAGCGCCAGCCGAGGUCUGUGGGGAGAGACACACUUUUCUGUCACCCAGUACAGCAGGUUCCCGAGGGCUCUAGAGACAGAGGGAAGUGAUCGGGAGGGGCGGCAGAGCGUGAGCGGGAGCCAUUCCCACCUUCUCUCCGGUGAGAGCCAAACACAGCGCCAUGGGAGGUGAACACAGAGCUCCGUCCUCCGCAUACACAGUCAUCCCGCCGUAGCUGUGACCCUGGCGGCAGGCUGCGUUGGCCUCUGUGCCCGUGUGACUACGUGUGCAUGGGGACCUGGGAGAGAUUAUUUCUCAGUGACUGCAAUUCAGGAAACUUCAGGAUCUGUUUUCCCGGACGCUUUCCUGCUGAAUAUUUAAACCCACAGGUAUUCCAUGGAAAUGUAAUCCACAGGUUCCUGAUCUGUUUGCACUUAAUGCAUCCAAGUGUUGUUUUGUGACAGUCAUUUGGUGUCUGAGGAGCUUUAUGAAGGUUCUAUUUUAUUUUUAAUAAACUUCGUUAUUUGAUCACCAGUCAUACAGAACUCAGAGGCUGUCAGCAGGGUUCUGAACCUGCAGCCUGGGGGGCGAGCGGUGGUGGGAAAUGUGGGUGGGCAGGAGAGCUGAGGAUCACCCAGGUGGCAGAGCUGGGACGUCCCUCUCCAUCAGCUGUCCUGCGGGAGAUGGACCAGGACCUGCUGCUCAGGGAGACCUCACUGGGUGUCCGCUGCCGCCCUGUGGGACUCUGCCCCUUUCUCUCCCACUGGCUCCUGGGCAUCUUGCUGGCCUUCCAUGGACGGAGCUCUGGCGGAACGAUUGUGACUGGUUCCAGAAGCUCGAGGGGCGCCUGGUGACCAAACACGAAUGGCUCAUGACACAAGAGACUGUGGCUGCACUGGCUCCAGGUGAACUGACCUCCCCAGGGCCAGGUGGGGGCUGGGUUCUGCUGGCCGGCUGCCCAGGGCCCGACCUAGGCCUGGCACUGCCAGCCCGGGAGUGAGCCUGACGCAUUCCUGUCAACCUCUGGGGAGAAGGGCAAGGUGGCUCCUCCAAGGCAUCCAGUCCGGUCCUGGUGGGCAGCACACGGCCCCCAUCCCCCAGCAGCUCUGCUGUUCUGAGCGAGGGUGCUUCCGGCAGACUCCCCACAGCCUAGAGGACUCUCCUGUCCGGGCAGAAAGCCUGUCUUCAAACGUGGCUAAGUAUGACGAGGCCAUUUCCGGGCUGGGUGAGUUUAAAGAAGACAUUUCUAUGGCUUGUAAAAUCUGACCCAUGUUGCCGAAUCGUUUACAUUUAAUGUGCACAUUUACACAUAAGUACACGUUGGCUUUUAAAUGUUUUCAGAAAACUGUGCUUUGAACCCAGGAUAGCCAUUUGAUUGAGACUUGCUAUAGUCAAAAAUAAAAUAAUUGUAGGGUGAUUUCAGCGCUCUGGCUUGGAGUCCACGCUUGUGACUCCUGUCCAAGGUCUCUGCUCAGCUUGCAACAUGCAUUUCACUGUUGUGACCUUGGCUGAUCUUUGUCUGAACCGGUGCAAUUGAGUUGGAAGAAAUCAGCCAACAAGAGUCCCCGCCGAGAGUUAGGGGAAUUGUGUUUGUGUUUUCACUGCCAGUACAGGGUUUAAGCAGAAAGUAGGAAGAGGAGGCACUGGUGCCACGCCUUCGGAUGGGUAAUCUGUACUUGGAAAUCCCGGUUCCGGUCCCUCGCUCGAGCUGCUGUGUGGGAAGAGGAAUGUGGACGGAUGGCCAUGUCAGCCACUUUGGGAGGCCGGGGCCGAGCAGAGAGGGACGAGGGCAGAAGCGAAGUGGUCUCUAAGCGGGGAAGGCAUCUAGGGAAGAUAUGACGUGUGGCUGAAGGGCAGCAAAGCAGAAACUGCGCAGGGCGGGGGGCAUUUCCUUAGGAGAGCUCGCUCACUGCAGGGCGUCAGCCCCACGCUGCUGGCUCUGUGCCACCUUGCCGGGCCUGGGCGUGAGUGUGUGCUGCAUGCAGGCGGGCUGGACGGGCCGGGCCCUCAGGAGACAGAGCUGUGGGCAGCAGGGCUGCAGGCCAGAGUCUUCUGAGAAACAGAGCAACAGGGUCAGGGAGGGUGGGGGAGCCCCGGGGGCCGCAUGCUGAAUGCUGUGUCCCAGAGCUCGAGGAAAAAGCGCAGGGCUGGCUCCUCCCGGGUCUUAGGCUGUGGUGAGGGUCACGGUGACGACACCGUGCGGCUCUCAGACAGCCCAUGCAGAGGCAGAGAGGGAAGCUGGGGAGAUGGAGACCUUCGGCUCCAGGCUUGAAGUUCCGAGAAACGACAACCAGAAGUCCUGACUGGAGCCCGUGGGGACCCUGACGCUCGAGGAGGAGGCCAGGCUGCGGGUUGAGGGCUGUCAGUCUGGUCUGUGGUCGUGACAGUGCCACAAGAACCUGCUUUCUAUCGGUUCUGGAAGUGGAGGCCCAAGAUCUAGAGUCCCUCACAGCUCUCUGCGCCUGCUCCUCCAUGACUGUGGGAUGGGGUGGUACCACCUGCAAAGAGAGCAAUGGUGAAGGACAGCAAGGACCUCGCUCCUGCCACACGAGCCCCGAGAAGGAGAUAUGUCACCCGGGCAUCCACGGCGUGGCUGACACCGGGCCUAGGAUGUGGGGAUGGGGCAGGACAGUGCCUGGUGUGGCACGGCAAGGAGCUCCACAGGUCCAUUAACCCCAAAAGUCCCUUGCUGAGAGCUUCAGAGGGCCCCGAAGUUCCUCGGGGUGGACCUGCUCACAGAGGUCACCGGAGGCAGCCCACCCAGGAGGCCAGGGGAAGACACAUCCCUGCUCUGUGGUGUGCGGACUCCUCCUCAGAGCCGCCUCCAGCCCGGGCCUCGUUCCUCUGCCAGGGAGUCAGACUAGGGGCCGGGCAGGGACCAGAGCGCCGACUCAGAGCCAGGAGGCUCCCGGCAUACUAUUUCUGGCCUGAGCCCACACACUCCCUCUGGGUGGGUGUCCUACCUGGCUCCGGACCUUUCGCAGAGCUCUGUGUUCUCCACACCUUGCUCCAUGCUCAGUUGGGCUCCCAGCCGCAGCAGCUGCCUUGUCUCUUGCUUGGCCUUUUGUUUCAGUGGGUCUUUGCUAGUGAUGAUAGUUCAUAAAAAUGACUGAGUAACAAUAAUAAAACAAAGUGAGUCGUCUUUUCAUGCAGCACAAUUCUUUGCAGUUGUAACUCUUCAGAACUGACAGCUAAGAGCUGAAGGAAUCAAAAUUAAUUUCUGGUUACCCUGCAGUGGCUUCUACCACAGAGCUCCCCGGGGAAGUGCGUACUCUGGACAGCAGGGGGCAGUGUUCAUCUGCAGAUAACAGGAGCCGGCCAGAGAGGGGGAGCAGAGCCCCAGAGCCUUCCAAACACAGAUUUCCUGGGGCUCAGAUUCGUGGUUUGGACCGCGACGCGGUACGAUGGAUGAAUUUCCAAAGACUCUGGUGGCUCCGGACUGAGCACAGCGAGGCUGCAAUCUGCAGGAGAGCGAAUCUGCUGCCUUCCAGAGCUGCUGUGCUUCGGCGCAGGUUCGUUACCGCAGGCGCCCAGGAGGGAAGAGCACAGCCUGAAGACAGCGCUCUCCUCUGUGUCACUGUCACAGGAGCAACAAAGUGCAGCAGGAAACCAAGUGUCCACAGGGCUCGGAGACCGGAGAGAGAAGCACCCAGUGAGGUUCUGCUGAUGUGCGCAAACUGGAGGCCGAGGCAGCUUGGGAGACCCGGCCGGCCAUGUCCACUGGAGCUCACGGCCGGCCUGUGCCUGUGUCCACCGCGACAGCAGCACCUGCAGACGGGAGUGGCCAGCACUGGAACUUGGAGCAAAGCAUAGAUGUCCCCAACCUGCAGUGCAACUCUUACGAAAGUCUGAGAAAGAUCAGCACUUUAGCUGCAGCUGUGCUAUUUCGGCCACUUCUUCCAAUUCGGGCUUGGUUUCAGCCUGGAAAUAAAACAGGUGUGAACUCAGCGUCACCCCCUUAGUCCCUGGACCUGUACUCACUCAGGACCGUGCUUGAGUACAUUUCCCUAGGGCCAACUAGUCCGACUAUGGUACUACUGUAAGCCAGGCAUGACAUUUAGAUUAUUAUUAAUAUCUACAAUCUUACUUGCAAAUACAGGUAAGCCUUUUAGGGAUAACUGUUAGUGAUGGAAGCAUUUCCUUAUUGAAAGUCUAACAAUAAAUAUACAACAAUUAUUCCAAAAGUCAGUGGCACAUCAAUGAUUAAUGGUAAUUGUAAGAACCUCGAUUUAAUGGAUUAAUAACAGUUAUUAAGAAGAUCCAAAUAAUUGCACCAACAGGACAGUGGAUUGAGAAUUGGUUUUCCCGGCUUCCUUUCCCUGUACUGUGCCUUGGAAACCGUCCACACUGUCCCCCGGGCCAAUGAGGCUUCACCUUGCUGGUCCCCUCCCCUCCAGGAUCAUUGCUGUUUGUUCUUUGAUGCCCAGUGUCUUUAAAAAGGUUUCAUAUGUUUGUCUGGUGCUUCAAUUGCUUCAAACAGAAGGAUAA